AUAGCAUAUCAUAAGCGGAGGAAAAGAAACCAACCGGGAUUGCCCUAGUAACGGCGAGUGAAGCGGCAAGAGCUCAAAUUUGAAAGCUGGCUCCUUCGGGGUCCGCAUUGUAAUUUGCAGAGGAUGCUUCGGGAGCGGUCCCCAUCUAAGUGCCCUGGAACGGGCCGUCAUAGAGGGUGAGAAUCCCGUCUGGGAUGGGGUGCCCGCGCCCGUGUGAAGCUCCUUCGACGAGUCGAGUUGUUUGGGAAUGCAGCUCUAAUUGGGUGGUAAAUUUCAUCUAAAGCUAAAUAUUGGCCGGAGACCGAUAGCGCACAAGUAGAGUGAUCGAAAGAUGAAAAGCACUUUGAAAAGAGAGUUAAACAGCACGUGAAAUUGUUGAAAGGGAAGCGCUUGCGAUCAGACUCGCCCGCGGGGUUCAGCCGGCAUUCGUGCCGGUGUACUUCCCCGUGGGCGGGCCAGCGUCGGUUUGGGCGGCCGGUCAAAGGCCCCUGGAAUGUAACGCCUCUCGGGGCGUCUUAUAGCCAGGGGUGCCAUGCGGCCUGCCCGGACCGAGGAACGCGCUUCGGCUCGGACGCUGGCAUAAUGGUCGUAAGCGACCCGUCUUGAAACACGGACCAAGGAGUCUAACAUCUACGCGAGUGUUCGGGUGUCAAACCCGUGCGCGCAGUGAAAGCGAACGGAGGUGGGAACCCCCCGGGGUGCACCAUCGACCGAUCCUGAUGUCUUCGGAUGGAUUUGAGUAAGAGCGUAGCUGUUGGGACCCGAAAGAUGGUGAACUAUGCCUGAAUAGGGCGAAGCCAGAGGAAACUCUGGUGGAGGCUCGCAGCGGUUCUGACGUGCAAAUCGAUCGUCAAAUUUGGGUAUAGGGGCGAAAGACUAAUCGAACCAUCUAGUAGCUGGUUCCUGCCGAA
rnacentral:rRNA from 1 species